rnacentral:rRNA from 1 species
UACAGAGGGGGCAAGCGUUAUUCGGAAUUAUUGGGCGUAAAGGGCGCGUAGGCGGCUUUGCAAGUGGCGGGUGAAAUCCCUCGGCUUAACCGAGGAACUGCCUGUCAAACUGCAUGGCUUGAGACCAGGAGAGGUGAGUGGAAUUCCCAGUGUAGCGGUGAAAUUCGUAGAUAUUCGCAAGAACACCAGUGGCGAAGGCGGCUCACUGGCCCGAUACUGACGCUGUGGCACGAAAGCGUGGGGAGCAAACAGG